CACUAUGCCUAGCCCUAAACAAAGAUGCCAUUAUACACUCCACAUCCGCCCGGGUACUACGAGCAUUAGCUUAAAACCCAAAGGACUUGGCGGUGCUUUAAAACCACCUAGAGGAGCCUGUUCUAGAACCGAUAACCCCCGUUAAACCUCACCCCUUCUUGUUUAACCCGCCUAUAUACCACCGUCGUCAGCCUACCCUGUGAAGGACUAAUAGUAGGCAAAGUUGGUACAACCCAAAACGUCAGGUCGAGGUGUAGCGCAUGGAGGGGGAAGAAAUGGGCUACAUUCUCUAUACAGAGAACCACGAAUGACACAAUGAAAUAUAUGUCUGAAGGAGGAUUUAGCAGUAAGUUAAGAAACAGAGUGUCUUACUGAAACCGGCCAUGAAGCGCGCACACACCGCCCGUCACUCUCCCCAAACCAAAUCAAACGAUAAUUAAUACAACAUUACACACAAAGGGGAGGCAAGUCGUAA
rnacentral:rRNA from 1 species